UGGACGCAGCGUGAAAAAAUCCAGCACAUGACAUGGGGAAACUCGAGGCGGCAUUUCCUCUCCGGAGCCGUCUUUCACCGGCAGGGCUCAGCCAACACCCGUCUCCGCUCCCGGCUGAGAGAGGGGACAGCAGACAGUUAGUCUCCUAUGGAGCCACGACUCAAGGUCAACUGGGAUGUGACAGCAGCCCCUGCAGGCCCAACGGCCACCGCGCUGUUACGGAUCACAACAGUACGCACGUUUCAGGGGCUCGCCCAGGCUUCGUGCGCAUCCAGGCAAGACGGGAAGGUGGAGACCCAGGACCCUGCUCUGUCGGGGCCUCUCGGAGCCCAGAGAGCCUCCUGGAAGACCGAGCUAUUGCUGCUGGACGUGCGGCAUCCAGGCUUCUCCUCGGGUGCCCACCUGGUUGGAGGCCAGGGUGGGGUCCCUCGGUGGAUCGUCGAUGGGCUCAGCGUGUCCCCGACAGAAGACAGCGCCUGACCCUGUCCACGCUCGCGCGGACGGUACUUGCCCGUCGGUCGGUGGAGAGGUGACAGUGAGCACGUGUGCCUGCCCCCAACACCCCUUCCAGAUUUGCCUCCUCCGCUUCUGCAAGAAAAGCCCUAAUUCUGUUCGACCAGGCCAGGCCACCGGCCAUCGGAGUUUCGGCUGGCUUCUUCUCCAGAGGAGCGGGUCCGCGGCCGAGCGUCUGCCACUUCAUCGGGCGGCUUCGCUGGAGCCUCCACACAGCCCCCCACCUGGAGCGGACAGGCCCCCAGACACCCCGGCCGGGGUCGAGCUCAGUGUCUCUUGCUUACCGUCGCGGCCCGCCUCCACGGCUGAGCCCGGGGUCCACCCACUUAUCUCUCGGGUCCCCUCGGAGGCUCGAGCAGCCUGUAGGGCAGACGUUUUCCGGAGCCCCCACUUAAUGGCAACAGCUUCAGCUCGUCCUCAGAAAGCACCGACACGGGCAGCCCUGGUGACUCCCAGGGGUGUGACAGUCCCCUGGAAUGCGGGUGAAAUACAGCCAGCACAGGCCACGCCUGGGCGACCGUCAGUGGGGACUGAACCACGGGCCACAUCCCGCAGCCCACACCCCGUGGUCCUAAGGGAGGGAGACACUUUACUUCCAUUGUAGAUUAAAUCGUGCAUUCCCCACGGGAAGGACACGUCCACGUCCUAACCCCUGGGACCUGCGACUGUGACUUAUUUGGCAAUAGGGUCACUGCAGAUAUAAUUAGUUAAGAUGAGGUCAGACCGGAAUAGGGUGGGCCCUAAAUCCAAUGCUCGGUGGAGAGGAGGAGGAGGACACGCAGAGACACGGGGACAAUCAGCCACGGGUGGCAGAGGCUGAGGUCAGAGGGACCCUUCCUCAAACCCAGGAACUCCAAGGAUGGCCAGCAACACCAGAAGCUGGGAGAGAGACAAGGAACCACAUGUCCCCCAGAUCUUUCAGAGGAAGCACACCCUGCUGACAUCUUGAUUUAGAGCUUCUGGCCCCCAGAACCGCGAGAGAAUAAAUUUCCGUGCUUUAA